rnacentral:rRNA from 1 species
GCAACCCCAGGUGAGGCAUGAUUACCCGCUGAAUUUAAGCAUA